GGCCUCUAUCAUCUGUAAGAGGAUUCUUCACUCCCUUCACUGAAGGAAAAGAGGCCUUGUGGAAGAACUGGCUGACUUUUAUUAGACUAAUUGGGAAGUUCUAGGCUUGUAAACAUUUCACCAUCAACAUUGUGUGUGCUAUCAGACUUCUUGGCAGCUGUUGUCAAAUGUGAGGAAAAAGUCAUAAGCAGUAGUAGCAGUUUGUUUUAGGCAGACUCAAGAACACGUUCGGCCCCCUGCUGUGUUAAUGUUGCUGUAUCUCAGCCCAGAGGUUCCUGGAUGUGGCUGG